rnacentral:rRNA from 1 species
GCAUGUCUAAGUAUAAGCAAUUAUACCGUGAAACUGCGAAUGGCUCAUUAAAUCAGUUAUCGUUUAUUUGAUAGUACCUUACUACUUGGAUAACCGUGGUAAUUCUAGAGCUAAUACAUGCUGAAAACCCCAACUUCGGGAGGGGUGUAUUUAUUAGAUAAAAAACCAACGCCCUUCGGGGCUUCUUGGUGAUUCAUGAUAACUUUACGGAUCGCAUGGCCUUGCGCCGGCGACGGUUCAUUCAAAUUUCUGCCCUAUCAACUUUCGAUGGUAAGGUAUUGGCUUACCAUGGUUUCAACGGGUAACGGGGAAUUAGGGUUCGAUUCCGGAGAGGGAGCCUGAGAAACGGCUACCACAUCCAAGGAAGGCAGCAGGCGCGCAAAUUACCCAAUCCCGAUACGGGGAGGUAGUGACAAUAAAUACUGAUACAGGGCUCUUUUGGGUCUUGUAAUUGGAAUGAGUACAAUUUAAACCUCUUAACGAGGAACAAUUGGAGGGCAAGUCUGGUGCCAGCAGCCGCGGUAAUUCCAGCUCCAAUAGCGUAUAUUAAAGUUGUUGCAGUUAAAAAGCUCGUAGUUGAACCUUGGGUCUGGCUGGCAGGUCCGCCUCACCGCGUGUACUUGUCCGGCCGGGCCUUCCUUCUGGAGAACCUCAUGCCCUUCACUGGGCGUGUUGGGGACCAGGACUUUUACUUUGAAAAAAUUAGAGUGUUCAAAGCAGGCCUUUGCUCGAAUACGUUAGCAUGGAAUAAUAGAAUAGGACGUGCGGUCCUAUUUUGUUGGUUUCUAGGACCGCCGUAAUGAUUAAUAGGGACAGUCGGGGGCAUCAGUAUUCAAUUGUCAGAGGUGAAAUUCUUGGAUUUAUUGAAGACUAACUACUGCGAAAGCAUUUGCCAAGGAUGUUUUCAUUAAUCAGUGAACGAAAGUUAGGGGAUCGAAGACGAUCAGAUACCGUCGUAGUCUUAACCGUAAACUAUGCCGACUAGGGAUCGGGCGAUGUUCUUUUUCUGACUCGCUCGGCACCUUACGAGAAAUCAAAGUUUUUGGGUUCUGGGGGGAGUAUGGUCGCAAGGCUGAAACUUAAAGAAA